rnacentral:lncRNA from 1 species
CAUAGCAAAUGAACCUCAUUGUCUUAAGACGUCUCGAGACAGUCUUGAGACAUACACCUUAUGUCUUGAGACAUAGAGCAUACGUCUUAAGACAUGAAAUCAUUGAAGAUGUGUCUUGAGACAUGGAAUAUAUGUCUUAAGACAUGUAUCUUGAAGACAUUUUUGAAACUUCAAAAAUUGUAUCCUCUCAUCCAAGACGUCUUGAAAAAAAAUGUUGGUGUCUUGACGACAUUGAAACAAAAAAAUACCAGUGGCCCAUAAAAUAUAUUCUAAACACAUAAAAAACUUGGAAUUAUUUUUAAUUAUGGAAUUUGCUUGUUUUGUUGUUGAAAUUUUUUAUAAAUUCCAUGUUUAUUCUGUACUGAAAUGUUCUGUGCUGCGCACAACACUUUCUAUUACAAAGAAAAUAGUUUAUUUUCAAUAGAAUGUACUGUGCCGCGCACAACACUAUCUAACCAAAAUACAUUUUAUGGAAAGUGUUAUUCACCGC